rnacentral:rRNA from 1 species
UACAGAGGGGCUAGCGUUAUUCGGAAUUUAUUGGGCGAAAGGGCGCGUAGGCGGCCAUGCGUGUCUUCCGUGAAAUCCCUCGGCUUAACUGAGGACGUGCGGAAGAAAACUGCAAGGGCUCGAGCCGGGGAGAGGGGGUGGAAUUCCCAGUGUAGCGGUGAAAGCGUAGAUAUUGGGAGGAACACCGGUGGCGAAGGCGGCCCCCUGG